GAUGAAGAACGUAGCGAAAUGCGAUACUUGGUGUGAAUUGCAGAAUCCCGUGAACCAUCGAGUCUUUGAACGCAAGUUGCGCCCGAAGCCAUUAGGCCGAGGGCACGCCUGCCUGGGCGUCACACGUCGUUGCCCCCCCAUCUACUCCUUCGGGAUUGCGGGGGGCGGAUGAUGGCCUCCCGUGCGCCUCGUCGCGCGGUUGGCAUAAAUGCCAAGUCCUCGGCGACGCACGCCACGACAAUCGGUGGUUGCGAAACCUCGGUUGCCCGUCGUGUGCGGUCGUCGCGCAUCGAGGGCUCGAAAAAAUUGUCGGGCUCCGGCUCGGCUUUCAACGCGACCCCAGGUCAGGCGGGGUUACCCGCUGAAUUUAAGCAUAUCAAAUAAGCGGAGGA
rnacentral:misc_RNA from 1 species